GGGACUGUUAGGUUUCUACAUAUUAUUGUAUUUGUAUAAGUUAUAGAGAAUGAAGAUAAGCUAAACUUCAUUAAUCCUAGCUUUAAAUUAUUUACUUGCAAAAAAUCAAAUCACUCCAUUUUCUAGAAAUAUGAUAUUAGCGUAAUUUGUCUAGUAUUAUUAAAUAUUUUUUAGAAUACCAAAUAAUGAUUUCUAAUAUAUUAUUUGAUAUUUAUUGAUUAGAUGCUCUUAAAUUUAUGAUAUAUAUAAUAUUUAAGCAAAGUUUUAAAUUUAUAAAUAAAAUUUUCUCUUUACUGUAUAAAUAAUUAUUUAUAUUUGGAGCUUUGCAUAUUACAUUAAUAUGGACGUGGGUUCGAAUCCCACCAGUUCCA
rnacentral:tmRNA from 1 species